UCUCUCACCUCUUCCCGCCCCCGUCCAAUCCAUUUCGCCCGGACGCCCUCCCCUCGCGCAGCCCCAACGUCCGGCGCCCUCUCCCUCCUCUUCAUCUCCUGCGCCGCGCGUUCGGCACCGCCUUCCUCCACCACGAGCCGGGGCCCUCCUCCUUCGCCGCCACGGCGCCAGGGCGCGAGCCGCAGGCGCAUCGUCCCGGCGGAGUCCAUUUGCCACGCCCGCCGCCACCAACAGCGCGCGCUCGGCACCCCUCUCCUCCACGAGCUGCGGCACCCACCCCUCCUCCUCCGCCGCGCCGCCUGGGCGCGAGCCAUAGGCGGAUCGAGCCGGUGGAGUCCAUCCGCUACGACCGCCGCCACCAACCGGAUCCAAACGCCUCAGCCGAUUGCGCGAUGUCCCUCCAUCCCGCAGGCUUCGGAUGCAGUCGCACCUCUACGAGCCCCCACCUCCACCUCGCGCCGCCCCGCGCUCCAGAACCGCCGCUGCGCCGUCGACCCGCUGUGCAGUUGCGCCGCCAUCCCUUGUUCAUCCUCUCUCCUCCACCAUCCUCGACGCGGCGCCAUCCGUCCUGCGUCUGCUCGCCGAAGACGGGCAGCGUCGUCUUCCACCACGCCGACCUGAUGGAGGGCUCGAGGAGGCUGGAUCCAGGGCGUCCGCGGUGAAGGAGAGGAGAGGGAUGGAUGCGAUGGCGACGACAAGCAAGGUGGCGGUGUGUGGGAUGGUGGUCUUGGUGCUGUUGAAGGAAGGGGCAUAUGCGACACUGCUGGUGCCAGCGCCUCUGCAGGACAGAGCCAGGACGGGGCCAGGACCUCCAUAUCUUCUACCCCGUCAUCCUCUCUUGCACCUUGGAAAUCUUCCAUAGGUUCAUUCUCUUUUGUCGUGCCAAGAGAUUUUCAAGCUGGUAAGGUCAAUUGAUAUGAUUUCUACUGUCUUUGUGUGUUCAAUUCGUUAUGAUUGAAAUCCUCAACUGGAUUCACAUGGUCAAGUGUUGGAGGUUUGUUUCCUGUUUGUGUUAAAAUUUAAAUGGAUCUAGUGUGCAGUCUGCAGUAAUGCUCAUUUCAAGUUCCAGAUGAUUUUGAUGGUAACAGCGGAUAGUUUUUCUUUUUGGCUGUGUACAAGAGAACUGAAAUUGGAUUACCAAUUUACCAUGCGAAAGACAUUGUGUUUGGAGAAUGCCGCAAGAUAAUGCUCCUGCGAGCUUUAUGUUCGAAUCAUGUAUGUUUAUCUUUGCUUAUAUCUCAGGAGAAUACCGCAUGAAAGGUUAGAGAAAUGACCAGCAAAGUUGGACCUGUUGUAUCAGUAGUGUUAAUCUGUUAGAGGCUGAACCACACAUUACUGUUUGAAGAGCACACUGAGGCUCUUGUUAGCAAGUCAAGCUACAUGAUGGGUUAUAGUGAGUUUCCGACGAGCUGAAGUUCACCAUCAAAUUAGGAAAUAAUUCUAGACAAGGUAGUGGUUGCUGGGGCAGGAGAUUGCAAGGGAGCAGCUGGAUAGUCGAGAGUCAUUGUAGCCUCACUUAUGGAUGGCUAGAUUAGCCCAUUUCCUGUUCCGCCUAUCCACUAUACACCAUAUUUUUAAAAGAAACUUUCAAUGUAGUAUAGGAUACAAUGACUUUGCUACAUUUCAGUCGGUACCAAAAUAAAAAGGCAAGUGUUUGUCAGAUCCAAAUGAGUAAUACUUAGUCACAUUAACGGAUUUGCUAGAGGGCAGCACACUCUGGUUCACGUUUUUGUAUAUUUUGCUCCGAUUGGCUGCUGUGUUUGUCUUCCUAUAAUGUUUUCAGUCUUUUGGAAUUUGCACUAGUCCUUGCGUAUAAAUUUUGGCUGAAUUUUAAAUAAUACAUGGAAGUUUGCAAAUAGUUCUGGAUUGAACUUCAGGGUGCUCACCCAACUAACAUGCUUGAAUGUAGAUAUACACAAUUUUGAUUUUGGGAUGAGAUAAACAAAUAUGUAUUUCUAUGGGAGGUAGAAACUAAUAGUUGCCAAUAUUUUUGUAUUUCUUGAGUUGUAUUUUACAUAAGUCUUUACAAAUAUAAAUAUAUCUUGCAAAUAAUUUGAGCUAAUACAUUUGUUGUC